rnacentral:rRNA from 1 species
GACAGAGGGUGCAAACGUUGUUCGGAAUUACUGGGCGUAAAGCGAGUGUAGGCGGUUUGGUAAGUCGGAUGUGAAAGCCCCGGGCUCAACCCGGGAAGUGCACUCGAUACUGCCAAGCUAGAGUGUCAGAGGUUGGUGGAAUUCUCGGUGUAGAGGUGAAAUUCGUAGAUAUCGAGAGGAACACCGGUGGCGAAGGCGGCCAACUGGACGAACACUGACGCUGAGACUCGAAAGCGUGGGGAGCAAACAGG